rnacentral:rRNA from 1 species
CCUACGGGAGGCAGCAGUGAGGAAUAUUGGUCAAUGGACGAGAGUCUGAACCAGCCAAGUAGCGUGAAGGAUGACUGCCCUAUGGGUUGUAAACUUCUUUUAUAUGGGAAUAAAAUGUUCCACGUGUGGCAUUUUGUAUGUACCAUAUGAAUAAGGAUCGGCUAACUCCGUGCCAGCAGCCGCGGUAAUACGGAGGAUGCGAGCGUUAUCCGGAUUUAUUGGGGUUAAAGGGAGCGUAGGUGGGUUGUUAAGUCAGUUGUGAAAGCUUGGGGCUCAACCGUAAAAUUGCAGUUGAAACUGGCAGUCUUGAGUACAGUAGAGGUAGGCGGAAUUCGUGGUGUAGCGGUGAAAUGCUUAGAUAUCACGAAGAACUCCGAUUGCGAAGGCAGCUCACUGGACUGCAACUGACGCUGAGGCUCGAGAGCGUGGGUAUCAAACAGGAUUAGAUACCCUAGUAGUC